UGCAAGUCGAGUGCGCGUGCCGUAGCAAUACGGUAUGGCGCACGGCGCACGGGUGCGUAACACGUGGGCAAUCUGCCCUCCGGUGGGGAAUAACCCCGCGAAAGCGGGGCUAAUUCCGCAUAACAUUCCCUGGACUCUGGUUCGGGGAUUCAAAGCAGCAAUGCGCCGGAGGAGGAGCCCGCGCCCGAUUAGCUAGUUGGUGAGGUGACGGCUCACCAAGGCAAUGAUCGGUAGCUGGUCUGAGAGGAUGGCCAGCCACACUGGAACUGAGACACGGUCCAGACUCCUACGGGAGGCAGCAGUGGGGAAUCUUGCGCAAUGGGCGAAAGCCUGACGCAGCGACGCCGCGUGGGGGAUGAAGCUUCUCGGAGUGUAAACCCCUUUCGACCGGGACGAAUGCCCGCAAGGGAGUGACGGUACCGGUAGAAGAAGCCCCGGCUAACUACGUGCCAGCAGCCGCGGUAAGACGUAGGGGGCCAGCGUUGUUCGGAAUUACUGGGUGUAAAGGGUUCGUAGGCGGUGUGGCAAGUCGGGAGUGAAAUUUCUGGGCUUAACCCAGAAGCUGCUUCCGAAACUGCUGUGCUAGAGUGCGGGAGAGGCGCGUGGAAUUGCAGGUGUAGCGGUGAAAUGCGUAGAUAUCUGCAGGAACACCCGUGGCGAAAGCGGCGCGCUGGACCGUUACUGACGCUGAGGAACGAAAGCUAGGGGAGCA
rnacentral:rRNA from 1 species